ensembl:lncRNA
AGGUUUGGGUUAAUGUUAGGUUAAGUUCAGGUAUAGCUUCACUGAGGUUUGGGUUAAUGUUAGGUUAAGUUCAGGUAUAGCUUCACUGAGGUUUGGGUUAAUGUUAGGUUAAGUUCAGGUAUAGCUUCACUGAGGUUUGGGUUAAGGUUAGGUUAAGUUCAGGUAUAGCUUCACUGAGGUUUGGGUUAAGUUCAGGUAUAGCUUCACUGAGGUUUGGGUUAAUGUUAGGUUAAGUUCAGGUAUAGCUUCACUGAGGUUUGGGUUAAGGUUAGGUUAAGUUCAGGUAUAGCUUCACUGAGGUUUGGGUUAAGGUUAGGUUAAGUUCAGGUAUAGCUUCACUGAGGUUUGGGUUAAGUUCAGGUAUAGCUUCACUGAGGUUUGGGUUAAUGUUAGGUUAAGUUCAGGUAUAGCUUCACUGAGGUUUGGGUUAAGGUUAGGUUACGUUCAGGUAUAGCUUCACUGAGGUUUGGGUUAAGUUCAGGUAUAGCUUCACUGAGGUUUGGGUUAAGGUUAGGUUAAGUUCAGGUAUAGCUUCACUGAGGUUUGGGUUAAUGUUAGGGUUUAAGCUUCACUGAGGUUUCAGGUAUAGCUUCACUGAGGUUUGGGUUAAUGUUAGGUUAAGUUCAGGUAUAGCUUCACUGAGGUUUGGGUUAAUGUUAGGUUAAGUUCAGGUAUAGCUUCACUGAGGUUUGGGUUAAGUUCAGGUAUAGCUUCACUGAGGUUUGGGUUAAGGUUAGGUUAAGUUCAGGUAUAGCUUCACUGAGGUUUGGGUUAAUGUUAGGUUAAGUUCAGGUAUAGCUUCACUGAGGUUUGGGUUAAUGUUAGGUUAAGUUCAGGU